GUGACUGCGUACCUUUUGUAUAAUGGGUCAGCGACUUAUAUUUAGUAGCAAGGUUAAGCGAAUAGCGGAGCCGUAGCGAAAGCGAGUGUUAACUGCGCGUUUAGUUGCUAGGUAUAGACCCGAAACCCGGUGAUCUAGCCAUGGGCAGGUUGAAGGUUGAGUAACAUCAACUGGAGGACCGAACCGACUAACUUUGAAAAGUUAGCGGAUGACUUGUGGCUGGGGGUGAAAGGCCAAUCAAACCGGGAGAUAGCUGGUUCUCCCCGAAAGCUAUUUAGGUAGCGCCUCGGACGAAUACCACAGGGGGUAGAGCACUGUUAAGGCUAGGGGGUCAUCCCGACUUACCAACCCUUUGCAAACUCCGAAU
rnacentral:rRNA from 1 species